GGUCAGAAACUCAGAGAGGCAGAGGCAGAGGCAGAGUUCUGUGCCUUCAGCUCAAUAAACACUGCUAACAGACAGCGCCCCCUGUUUUACCAUUCAUUGCAUGAUCUUGUUGACAGCGGCACUCACAGCACAUCAGUGUCCGUUCUCCCCCAACACUCUGAGGAGGAAAGGGAGGCAGUGAACUCUACAGAGACAGUGGUUUCCCAGCAGCCCACCAGCCAGGUCACCAUGGGGAGGGUAUUUCUUUGGGUUAUUUGAACCCCCCUCUGAGAGUGAAGCCGUCAUGCCAUCCAGCACCAUUAGGAAUUAAUUCUGUCUUCUCAGAGUCCACCUCCCGAUCUGAGCAACCACAUUUUCUGGUUGUAGAAAUGGCCUCAAGUAGAGGUGCAGGAAGGAGUUCCGAUGAAGGAAAACGCGCAGAUAAACUUCAGAUACAUUUCAGGAGCUGAGUCUUGGGGCCCGCAGAUGUCCAGUUUAAAGGUGCCGCUAAGAGACUGCUUCCUUGGUUUGUGUCUCUAUACCACUGAACUGUCUCCCAGAGCAUGGCUAAGAGAGGCAAUGAUCACCUGAAGGCGCUUAAUAAAGGCAUUAUAUUACUGACAAAUAUUGCCAUUACUGUACAUCCUCUGUACAAAUAGUAUUUCAUAUAAACCAAACUAAAUGUAUAAUAAUAAAAGACUAGG
ensembl:lncRNA